rnacentral:rRNA from 1 species
GUCCACGCCCUAAACGAUGUCAACUGGUUGUCGGGGAAGCAAUUCCUUGGUAACGAAGCUAACGCGUGAAGUUGACCGCCUGGGGAGUACGGCCGCAAGGUUAAAACUCAAAGGAAUUGACCGGGGACCCGCACAAGCGGUGGAUUAUGUGGAUCAAUUCGAUGCAACGCGAAAAAACCUUACCUACCCUUGACAUGUAUGGAACCCCCGCAGAGAUGCGGGGGUGCCCGAAAGGGAGCCGUAACACAGGUGCUGCAUGGCUGUCGU